GACGAACGCUGGCGGCGUGCCUAAUACAUGCAAGUAGAACGCUGAAGGAGGAGCUUGCUUCUCUGGAUGAGUUGCGAACGGGUGAGUAACGCGUAGGUAACCUGCCUGGUAGCGGGGGAUAACUAUUGGAAACGAUAGCUAAUACCGCAUAAUAGCAGUUGUUGCAUGACAACUGUUUGAAAGGUGCAAUUGCACCACUACCAGAUGGACCUGCGUUGUAUUAGCUAGUUGGUGGGGUAACGGCUCACCAAGGCGACGAUACAUAGCCGGCCUGAGAGGGUGAUCGGCCACACUGGGACUGAGACACGGCCCAGACUCCUACGGGAGGCAGCAGUAGGGAAUCUUCGGCAAUGGACGGAAGUCUGACCGAGCAACGCCGCGUGAGUGAAGAAGGGUUUCGGAUCGUAAAGCUCUGUUGUAAGAGAAGAACGAGUGUGAGAGUGGAAAGUUCACACUGUGACGGUAUCUUACCAGAAAGGGACGGCUAACUACGUG
rnacentral:rRNA from 1 species